rnacentral:rRNA from 1 species
UACGGGGGGGGCUAGCGUUGCUCGGAAUCACUGGGCGUAAAGCGCACGUAGGCGGCUUUCUAAGUCAGGGGUGAAAUCCUGGAGCUCAACUCCAGAACUGCCUUUGAUACUGGAGAGCUUGAGUCCGGGAGAGGUGAGUGGAACUCCGAGUGUAGAGGUGAAAUUCGUAGAUAUUCGGAAGAACACCAGUGGCGAAGGCGGCUCACUGGCCCGGUACUGACGCUGAUGUGCGAAAGCGUGGGGAGCAAACAGG